rnacentral:rRNA from 1 species
UACGUAGGUGGCAAGCGUUGUCCGGAUUUACUGGGCGUAAAGAGCGCGCAGGCGGUCGUUCAAGUCGCGUGUGAAAGCCCCCGGCUCAACUGGGGAGGGUCACGCGAUACUGAUCGACUGGAAGGCAGGAGAGGGUAGUGGAAUUCCCGGUGUAGUGGUGAAAUGCGUAGAUAUCGGGAGGAACACCUGUGGCGAAGGCGGCCCCCUGGUUGGAUACUGACGCUGAUGACGCGAAAGCGUGGGAGCAAACAGGGAUUAGAAUACCCGUGGUAG